rnacentral:lncRNA from 1 species
UGCUUAGGUGGGACUUAUUAUCUAUUAUCAUGACAUUUGACGUUGAAACUUGAAAAAAUUAUCUAAGACAACAUCAUGUGAUCUAUUAUGUGACCUUGUCUCCCUUAGGUUUUAUGGCUCCUAUACAACUCAUGGCCCUCCCUCACUGAUCAUUGUAGUUGCCGACUGUUUGUCACACAUCCUUUCAUCUAUAUAUAUAUAUAUUCGUCGUUGUAAGCAUUUAGGACCAACACAAAAUCAUUCACAACCCAAAAGCAUUUGAAAUUCAGAGACCUAUACACAAAGUUCUUCACUUUUAGACCAAUAUCUUCUUUUCACAUCACUUUGAGUGUUUGGACUUCAAACUCCAACUUCCGCAUAUAAAAUGCCGAUGUCCCUACCAGUAAUAUAGGCUUAUAUAUGUGAUCAGUCCUUGCAGUUACAACUACUUUUGGUAUUAGUCCGUGUAAUUUUUUUUGUUGCCUUUUGAUCCCUGCGGUUUCAAAGCAUUUUGAUAUUAGUCCCUCCUUACUUCAAAUGUUAAAAAUCUAGAUACAGUUAAUGGAGUGCCACGUGACCCAAUCAAUUAAAGCCACGUGGCAUAGUAAAAAGCAUAACUUUUUUUAUUAUUACUUUUACCAUUGUCAUUUAUUUAUAUAAUUCAUAUUAUUAUUAUUAUUAUUAUUAUUAUUAAUUAUUAAUAAACAAACGAAGAAGAAC